rnacentral:lncRNA from 1 species
AGAGGAUCCAUUUCCGGGUUUCUUUUCUGGCGCCUCUCGCUGGCUAGUAGGAAGCAUGGCAAGGGUUUCUCCUGCUGGCAGUGCCCUGGCGUCUUCUAGGUUUAUGGAGAUAGUCCCUCAGCUCAAAAUAGUUGUUGUCUGACCCUCCCAGGAGGGAAGGAAAACAUCUACCCACCAAGAACUGCAUGCAUUACAUGAUAUAAUGUUGCUUUCUUCUCCUUGUAGUACAUCUAGCCGCAGCAAAACCUUUCUAGACUAUGGUACCUGAAGCCAACCUCCUGCACCCUUGCACUGCAUUGCAGCCGCUUCCAGGUGCAGAGCAGAACGGAGGUGGGGUCAGGAUUUAAGCUAGCUGGAAGGCAAAGCUCUCCCAUCGAAAGACCUCUGGCCAGCACACCUCUCCACUCUUCUUCUUUAGCAGGAUUGUUUUCUGUGCAAUAAUUUAACGUCUCUGAGUCUUGUUUGGAAAUCUAUGAUGUAGUGACGGUUAGUUCAUGCAUCACCUUCGUAUUUCUGGACCAUCUUUAAUUAGUCAUUUCAUAGUAUGUCGCAUAGCCCUUGUGACUUAUAAAGACCUCAUCUUCUCUUGGGAGAAAGUUGCUUCUAGGGUAAAAGCACUCAUGGGAGUCACCCAGAUGCCACUGUAACCUCAGCAAGCAUCCCAGCCUGAAGCCCUGGACAUUGCCUACAGUCAAUACCUCUCUCCUGACAAUAGGCAGGAACAGCUCUGCAACCAUUCUCGGCACUGAAGAAGCUACAGAAUUUUGAGACCAUCACCCCUUUUCCCUUAGAUAUUUGGAGAGGGGAGAGAUGACAUGGGCAUGGUACCCCCAGAAACUUGGGCAAAUUAUUGUCAGGGGGGUUCCUUUGCUCCCUUACAUCCUCAUGACUCUUAACCUAAAAACAUCUAAUGACCCCUAUAGGAUCCUGAGAUGAUUGUGCUCCUUUGGUCCUCCUUUAGAUUUAAGAUGGACAAGAGAGAUGCAUCUCCAGGCCAUACCUCAAUUUCAUCGGGCUAAAACCAAGGAAUCUUUUAUGAGGGUCAUUCCCUAUGUCUCCAGGCAAACCAAACCCCUGACCAAAUGCCUGAGGGUUUACUACUCAAGGUAUAGGAAGGGACUAUAGCUGGAAUAUAUAUAUAUAUAUAUAUAUCCUAGCUGGAAAGGACCAUAUGUUGUUUUUUGCUUUUAUGCUGAUCAUACAGAGAUAGUUCGCCUAGUAAGCCUUUGUCUAGGAUUGCAUUAAUACUUUCCAGCUAUGGUCCUUCACCUCCUGGUGAAUAUCAUAUCAAACUCUGAUUCCUACCAAAUCCCCUUAUGAGGAUAUGAUAGCAUGAGGAAGAUUCCACAUGUAUAGCAGAAGUAGGGAAUGAAGGACCAGCCCUGGAACCUAUUUUUUCCCUGAACCCCUUGCCCCUAGAGCCCCUGCAGUCAUACCCUAGAAUGUGCUAGGAACUGAUAAGGACCCCAACCCCAGGUGUUCCUGUCACAC